rnacentral:rRNA from 1 species
AGAGUUUGAUCCUGGCUCAGGACGAACGCUGGCGGCGUGCUUAACACAUGCAAGUCGAACGGAAAGUGCUCUUCGGAGUGACUCGAGUGGCGAACGGGUGAGUAACACGUGGGUGAUCUGCCCUGCACUUUGGGAUAAGCCUGGGAAACUGGGUCUAAUACCGAAUAGGACCACGCGCUUCAUGGUGUGUGGUGGAAAGC